GUGAUUAUUUUUAAAUACUCAUUUAACCCUAACCUAAAAAAUAUUUAUUGGCUAUCUUUUGUGUAAUAGUGUCUCUGCUGUUAGGUAUAGUGGAUAAGAAAGUGUAAUGAAACCCCAUAUCUUUCCUCAGUAAUUUUUCGAUCUAUCAAAUAAAAUACGAAAAUCAUGUCCAGUUUCUUAGACAAGAAGUCAAGUUAUACUCAUCCAAGUUACAGACUUAAAUUAUACUGAUUUAAAUUAUUAAGAAUCUGUAUAAAUAUGAUAAUUGCAAAAAUAAAGUUAUGGUUACACACUUCCACUAAAGACAUUUAAGAUUAUAAAAAGAAAUAUUUUUGUAAUAAUUGUAUCUUUUUCUGAUGGAACUUUUAAUGAAUUACCCAAGAAAUAUAAAAAUCACAGUAGCCUGUGUCAUAUUAACCCAAAAUAUAAUUUUGUAUUUCAUUUUCAUCCAUUGUAUUGAAAAAUAUCCUAUCCUGCUUUAUAGUUUAUACACACACCAUACAUAUUCUUUACUAUGUAUAUAAUUUAAUCCAAGCAGUCAAAUCUCCUAGUACUGGGGAGGAUGCAUACAAGAGUAAAUUCUCCAGAGUAACCUUGGAGAGUUUCCAGAAGGAGCAGAGGGAAGUUCAAGUGUCACAGAAACCCAGGGGAGACACUAUUUGCACCAAACAUGGGGAUCUCCUAGAAAGACUGCCGUCUAUAGUAAGCAGAGAAAUUCUGGAUUAGAUUAGGAGGAAUUGGUGAUUAUGAUGAAUCCUUUAGAACUGUGCUGAGCUAAAGGAGAGGUGAGAGAUGGAAGAAAUGAAAAAUGAUGCAACAUUGUGGAUGUAAUAGAGACUAAAAUAUAAUAGAUUAUUAUGAAAAGGUUAUGCCGAUAUAUUUGAAAACCUAGAUGAAAAAUAAAAUUCAUAAAAUGGUACAAAUGAUCAGAAAUGGCAAAGAAGAAAUAGAACCUCGUCAAAUCAGUAGUUUACAUAUUUUUCCACAAUGAAAACAUCAAGGCCAGAUGCUUUAUAGGUGAGUUAUAUUGAAUGUAAAAGAAGCAGCAAAUUCAAUAUUACACAAACAUUUUCAGAGAAUUUUGAAAUACAGGUUCCACACCAUUUCAUUUUAUAAGUACUCUACUCUUGGUCCCCAAAUCAGAUAAGAUAGUAUAUGAAAGGAAAAUUAUGGCUACACUCACUCAUAAACAUUGAUGCCAAAUCUUAAACAAAAUAUUAGUAAACCAAGUCUAGUCAUGUAUAAAAAAGAUAACAUAUCACAAAGAAGUUUGUUUUAUUCCAGGAAUUCAAGUUUAGUUCAACAUUAGAAAAUUUAUUAGAAAUCACCACCUUAACAGAUUAAAAGAAAAAAGAUAUGAUUAUUUCAAUGUCUGUAUAAUAUAUAUAAGCCAUAACUUACUUAUUUACUUAUGUAUUCUGCCAUCAUGGAACAUUUAGGUGUCCAGGUUUUCUAACUAGUCAAUUUUGGGGCGUUUUUUUUGUGUGUGUGUGUAUAAUUUGAAAGCGAGGCUUACAUACUAGGGGAACAAAUUUGUAAGUUGCUUUAGGAACAGCUGUUGCUGUAGAGGCCCCAGUGUGGUGUUAGAUGUAGUCAUUCUGACUGAGUUCCCCUGUUCUCCCCCUUCCCAAUUCAUUUCCUGAGUCCAGUAUAACCUUGAUCACAAAUCCUACAAGGAUAUUACAAAAAGGAAAAAAUCACAGCCAAAUCUCUUUUACUACAUCCUAAACAAAAUCCUUCAAAUCAAAUCCAGUGACAUAUAAAAAGACUAAUCCGUUUCCACCAAGUUGGAUUUAUCCCAGAAAUUCUAGUUAAACAUUCAAAAUCAAUCAGUGGGAUUAUCACAUUAAUAAAAUAAAGAAGAAAAAACUUGUGAUCCUCUCAAAUAAUGUAGGAAAUUAUUUCACAUGCUUAACAAAGGAGUAAGUUCUAGCAAGUACAAUAAGGAAAGGAAAUGAACUCUAAGGAGAACAUAUUGGAAAGGAUAAAAUAAAAUUAUCAUUUCAGAUAUCAUAGUUGUAUAUUCAAAAUCACAAAAUAACUUAUAGGUAAACUAUUAAAAUUAACAAAUAGAUUUAGCAAGGUUGAAGACUACAAGCACAGCACAUAAAAAUCACCAGUAUGUGUGUGUGUGUAUGUGUAUGUAACUCAUAUUCAUUCAUUACAAAAUGAAAUAAAUUUUCAGUUGCAAUAUCAUUAAAUAUCAAAUAAUAAGGCAUACAUUUAACAAUAGGCAUAUGAUAUUGCUUUUAACAUAUGGAGAGAAACUACUAAAAAUUUAAAUAAAUGAAUAGAUAAAAUAAGUUUCUGUUUGGAAGACUUAAUAUUGAACAAAUGUCAAUUUUCACCAAAUUGUUCCAUAAAUUCAAUGCAAGCUCAAUAAAAUUCCCAGCAAGUUUGUGUGUGUGUAUGUGUGUGUGUGUGUGUGUGUAAAUUGACAAGUGGAUUCUAAAAUUGAUGUGGGAAUGCAAAUCUAAAAUAGACAAAGCAAUUUAAAAGAGGAUUUUCAAAUCUGGGGAACUUAUCAGAUAGCAAAUCUAACUACAAAACUGAAAUAAAUAAGACAACAUAGUAAGAAGUCAAGGAUAGACAUAUAGACAAAAAUGACAAAAUAGAGAGCUGAGAGACUCAAAUAUAUGCAGUCACCUGAUUUGUGGUAAAAACAUCACUACAACUCAGUGAAAAAAGUGUGCUCUUUUUGAUAUAUGGUGAUAGUUCAAUUGGAUAUCCAUAUAGAAAAUAAAAAUCUUAAUCCUUACUUUACACUAAACACAAAAUCAACUCCUGGUAGAUUCUAAGUAUAAAUAUGGAAGUAAAUAACAUGAGAGAAAUAUUUUGCAUAAGGAGAGAUUUAUUACAUAAUACAUGAAAAGGGUUAACGAGAUAGAAAAAGAUAAAUAAAUUAUAUUAAAAUUAGUAUUUUCUGUCAAUAAAAAGAUAUAUUAUGAAUCUCUAGGUUAGCUCUUAAUAUAAAGAACUUAGAAACCAUCACGCUCAUCCUUAAAACAAGAUAAAGCUUGACAAAUGGAAAAUAAAUGACUUUUCUUAAACUCAUCAGAAUACAGAGUCUGAAGGGCACACUUUCAUCCCCAAAUAUGGAGAGACAGGCAAACCCAGAGAUACACACCAGAAAUCUCCUUAAAUGGUAAUUUUGUCUAAUUGCUGAGCCCUGAGUGUGGACAAGCAUAAAAGUGAAAAACACAAGGGAGUCACCACGACAAUUUCAUGAGUCUCACCACCUAUCAGGUUCUAAAAGGGAGGAUUGGAGAAAGAUCUUUCUGUGAAUUUGGGAAGGAGAGGGGAAGAAUAAUUCAUGUGAAAUGUUACCAGAGCAUUCCCUAUUCUCUAGUGGAGAAAAGAACUUACUAGAGAGUCUUAUACUAGCUGAGGAAAGGGCAUUCAUCCCACUCCAGUCCUCAUUUCCUGUCUUACCAAAGAGGUAAAAAAAAAAAAAAUCUGUAUUACUGGAGAAACACUCGUGAAAAUCAGAACUCAAGACACAGAGGCCCACUUUUACAUCUGAAAUUUAAUCACAAGAUUAUAGAAUGCUUCCUUCUUCCACACUUUACCACCAUACCAGUAGGGAUCCAGUAUUGUAAUAGUGGAUUACAGCAGAAAGAGCUGCAAGAAGCAAACUCUGAUAAAAAAGACUUAGGGAAGCCCACCAUAAAGAGGAAAGGCAAAGAGAAGGAUAGUAGAGAAAUUUGAAACCUUUGGCAGUUACAGCUACAACCAACAUUAAACGCAGCUAGACUCUUAGGCAGGUAAACAUACAUUCUCCACAUUUACAGUGUAUAUACUUUAGUUCUUAUCAUCAGAUACCCUGCAUCUGGCUUUCGACAAAAAAAAUCACGAGGCAGACAAAACUCCAAGAAAAAUAUAGACUAAAGAGACAAAGCAACCAUCAGAACCAGACUCAGAUAUGACACAGGCAUUAGAACAAUGAGAUAGGGAAUUUAAAGUAACUGUGACUAAUAUGCUUUUAAGGGCUUUAAUGAAAGAAGUAGGCAACAUGUAAAAGAAAGAGAUAAAAAUAUAAACAUAGAGAUGGAAACUAAAAAAGAUUUAAAAGGAAAUGCUAGAAAUAACCAAAAAAUACUUUAACAAAAUGAAGAAUUUCUUUGAUAGGCUUAUUAAUAGACUGGACAUGACGAAGGGGAGAAUCAGAGAGCUAAAAAGUAUGUCAAUAGAAACUUCACAAAACUAAAAUUCAAAGAAGAAAAAAUAAUGAUAAAACAUCAGGCCAGAUUAUCCAAGAAAUGUGGGAUGAUGUUAAAAAGUCUGAUAAAGGUCCAUUACCUAUAUGUAAUUGAAAUAUCAGAUGCAAAAGAGAGAGAGAACAGAGUAGAAGAAAGAUUUGAAGCAAUGAUAUUUGAUGAUUUUCUAAAAUUAAUGACAGUCAUUAAACCAUAGAACUGGGAAGCUCAAGAAUGUCAAGUAGGUUAAAUACCAAAAUAUCUACACUUAGGAACACCAUAUUCAAGCUACAGAAAACCAAAGACAAAGAGAGAAUUUUGAAAGAACUCCAUACCUACUGAGAAACAAGGGUAAGAAUUAAAUUGGACUUUUCAUAAGAAACCACAGAAACAACUAGAGAGUGGAGUGAAAUAAUCUAAGUGCUGAAACAAAAAGCCCACUAACCUAGAAUUCUAUAUUCAAUUAAAUUACUCCUCAAAAGCAAAAGAAAAACAAAGAAUUUCUCAAGCAAAACCUAAAAGAUUUCAUCACCAGCAGAUCUGCCCUAACUGGAAAUGUUAAAAGAUAUUCUCCAUAGAGAAGGAAAGUUAUAUAUGUCAGAAAAUCAGAUCUACAUAAAGAUAGACAUCAGAGAUGCAAUAAAAGAAGGUAAAAUACAAUCUUUUAGUUAUUCAUAAUAUAAUCUAAUAAUUUUUAAAAAUAAUAGUAAGAAGGUAUGGAGUGAUUUUAGCACAUGGGUAACUGAAGCAAUAAUAGCAAUAUUAUAAGAGAUGAGAGGAAUGAAUUGUGAAUUAUUAAAGGUUCUGGAACUACAUGUGAAAUGGUAUCGUAUUAUCUGAAGAUGAACUUAGAUAAAAAGAUAUAUUGGAACCUCUAAAAAAAUCACUAAAAAUUUCAGAAAGAAGUAUAAAUAUAUGCUAAGGAAAGAGAUGCAAAAAAUCAUAUAAAAUGUUUAAUUAAAACCAGAGAAGGCUGAUAAAGAGGGAGAGAAAAAAAGAAUGCAAUGAAUAGAAUACAUUUACAAACAUGGUGGAUUUUAAUCCACCUAUAAUCAAACUAUAAGAAUUUUAAAUCUAAAUGGUCUAAACAGACUAGUUUGAAGACAGAGGUUGUCAGAGUGGAUUAAAAGCAAUAUCCAACUAUUUGUGGUCUACAAAUGCAAAUCCACUGUAAAUAUACUCAGAUAUGUUAAAAUUUAAGGAAUAGAAAAAAAUAAUAAAAAAAUACAUGCCAUGUUAACACCAAUCAAAUGAAAGCUAGGUAGCAAAAUUCAUUUUUAGACAAAGAAGACUUCAAAACAUGGACUAUCAUCAGGGAUGAGUAUGGCCAUUACAUGAUGAUAAAGAGGUUAAUUAUCCAAGAAGAAAUUACAAUUAUAAAUGUGUAUGUAUCUAACAAUUCAGCAUCAAAAUUCUUGAGGCAAAACUGAUAGAACUAAAAUAAGAAAUAGGAAAAUUCACUGUUACAGAUGGAGACUUCAACAUAUUUCUUUUGAUAAUUGAGAUAUCAAGCAGGCAGAUAAUCAGUAAGGAUAUAGUUGAUCUGAACAGCAGUAUCUGUUUUAAUUGGCAUUUGUGAAAUUCUCCAUCCAAUGAAAGCAGAAUACAUACUUAUACCAAAUGUUGCUAAUAAGAGAAAUUGGAUGUGGGCAUAUGGUAACUCUGUAUUCUCUUCAUAAGUUUUAUGCAAAUCUAAAACUGUUCUAAGAUAAAAAUAUUUUAUUAAAAUAAAAAGAUAUAUCAUGAAAUUGAAAAAGCAAGUCCCACAAUAUGGGGAAAGAUAUUUAUAAUUAAUAUAUUAAUAUCUGACAAAGGAAUGAUACACAGAAUACAUAUAGAACUCCUGCUAAUCUAUGAAAAAACAAAUACCCAGUGGAAAAAAGCCAAAAUGAAGAGACACUUUACAAAAGGAGUUUGAAUUUCAAAAACACGUUGAAUGAGGUAAAGGUAGACAUGAUAAUGUACAUAUUAUUUGAGUAUAUUUAUAUAACGUUCAAAAACAUACAAAACUCUAAUCCAUAGUGCUGGGCAUUAAGGUCAGAGUAGGAUAAUAUGGGAGAGGGCAUGAGAGGAGCUUCUCAUGACGAUAAUGUUCUAUUUCUGAUCUGGGUGGUGUUUUCACUUUGUAAACAUUCGUUGAUCUAUCUAUACACUCAGGAUUUGUGCUCUUCUCUAUGUGUUGUAAAUUUCAGAGCUUAUUUAAAAAAAAAAAACGAAAGAAAAAAUGCAGUAGAAAAAUGGUCAAAGGACUACAUCAGAUACCAUGCAGAAAGGGAGCACAAAGGACACAUAAACAAAUAUGUUCAAUCUGAUUAUUAUCAGAAAAAUGCAAAUUUAUGAGAUUCUGUUUUACACCUGGUAUAUUGUCCAAAAUUUGAAAGUCAGACACUAUCCUGGAUUGGUAAAGACAUAGAUUUGCAGAAAGUCUCACAUACUGCUGAUAAGAAUAUAAGUUGAUAUAACCACUUUUGAACAAGGUUGGCUCUUUAUAGUAAUUUUUACCAUGUGCAUAUACCCUACAUAUACCCUACCACCCAGCAAUUUAUUCCGUGGUAUACACCCAGACAAUCUCUUGUAAAUGUGCAGCAGGAGAAAUGGAAAAACAGUUUGUGGCAGAAUUGUUCAUUAUACUAAAAAUUGAAAGAGUUCAAUUUUUUCAUCUCAAAUGAAUUGGAUUAAAGUGUGGCGUAUUCACACAAAGAAAUACUAUCUAGCCAAGACAAGGAAUAUCUAGAGGUGUGGGCAAUGACACAGAUUGAUCUCAGAACCCUAAGAAUGGGUGGAGUAAAAUAAGUUACUGAAGAAUACAUUAAAGUAAUAUUCCAGGUAUGUAAAGUUCAAAACCAGACAAAAUUAGCCAUUACAUUACAUUGUAGCACUUUAUAGAAAAACAAGAGAAUGGUUUGCAGAAUUUUCUGGUAGAGAGGAGUCAUGUAAUCAAAGAGCUUACAGGGGAAUUAAAAAAUACUGGUAAUGCUCUAUUUCUUAAACUCUGUGGUGAGUAGAAGUAUUUCCAUUUUACAGUAUUUUGUUUUAAAUUGUAUGUCUUCUUUAAAUACACUUUUUACAUUAUCAGUAGCAGAAAUUUAAAAGUUAAAGCAAAAGAAAAAGAUAUGUCAUUAUAACCACUUUUGGACUUUUGGCUAUGAUUUCCUGAACCAAAGCUAUCAACUAAAAUUUAAAAAUACAUUGUGUUAAGUCCUAACGUUAUUUUAGAAUGUGUCCAUCUGAUAUCUUUCAGACCACGGUCAUUUGAGAACAGAGGGAAGAGACCGAUAGGGUAAAUCACCAGGACUUGUUUACACAACAAAAUAUGUGGCUGGUCAAAUAUUCUCUAGUGAUGUUUCUGAAACCAGAGACCGGAAACAUACAGUGGAAAUGAGACCCUUUACUAUUCUUGUGCCAACACUAACAACAAUUAUAGCGCCAUGUGAGAAGAGUUGUAAGAAAUACUGCUGGGCUUUGGUGGUUCAACCAAGUCAGCAGAUUUCUGUAACCGUGGAAGACUGGACCCCAAAACUUUACAGUUGUCAGCAAGGAAUGGCUCUUAGACAUUAAACUGAUCCCUGAUAAAACAACCCCAGGGUCAUGAGAAGGCUACUCUGCCAAUUUCAUUUCACUGUGGGAUCCACUGACAUCUGGCUCAGCUGCGGAAGCUGGAAAACUUCUUUAAAAUUCUCUUGAUAGUAAAAAUGGACAUGUGGAAAACAUUCUAAUCUGUUAAUCUUUGGUGCUCCUGAAAAAGGGACAUUUGGCUUUAUACUUCAUGAUGAUAAAUAUGAAACCUCCAGAUCUGGUUGUAAAUAACUUAAUGGCAUUUGAAUAAAGAAGAGAAUUUUCAUUUCCCAAAUGUGCCAAAAGAUGAAUAUGCACCUGCAUCAACCCCAUGACAUAAUAAGCCCCCUGGAUUUGUUGUUUACACUUGGGUUUUGUAAUUUGUCCAUCUUUACACUGGUUCCAUUUGGCCAGUGAAAAUUACUGAACAGUAGCAAGUAAUAUCUUUUCUUCCUUGCUCUCCUUCCCUACCUCCCUUCCUCCCUACAUUACAUUGUGUUACAUAUUUCAAAUAAUCAAGGAAAUCACACAACAAUAGAACUAUUAUUAUAAAUGGCUGGUUGGUUUCAAAGAUCUACACAUUGUAGAAGCUGUCUCUAUCUUGUAGACCUACAGGACAGAAAUAAAAUAUACCCAUGAUGUAGACUUCUUGUUCUUCCUCAUUUCAGUUUCCAAACCAAGUCAGUCUGCCUAUUGCUCCCCACUCAUGUCACAAGCUCUCUUGCUGUUUGAGUGUUUCUUUUUGUCUUUUUAACAGUUAUUGUCCCUUUUUUUUCCCCAGUUUUUGUUACUUCCACUAGGUACCUUUUUAAGCAUUUAUAUAUUUGUUCUAAUUUAAAUGCUACUCCAAAAGCUCUGGAUUGAAACUCAGAAAACUAAUUAGAGAAUAAAAGAAGUAUUAAACAAUUAAAUAUAUGUCUACAUAGUUCCCCAUUAAAUAUUAAUACAUGCUACUCAAGAGGUUUGUUUUUCCUAUUCCCAAACACCCGUUGUGGUCUCUAGUCAAAACAAACAUGCAAAUAGAUAAAUACAUUAAUAAAUACAUACAUAAAUUAAUUAAAAUAAAGCACAACUAUUGCUUCUGAUGAACCAACUCAUUAUUAUUAUUAUUUUUUUUUUUCUGAUUCUGUCUGGAGUGCAUUAGCUCCUGAAAGGGAGAGUGUAGAAUGGUAGUUAUAAUCAGUGUCUCUGGAAUCUAAAUGUCUACCAACAAAUUUUGACUUUGUGGUCUUGGGCAAAUUACUUAACUUUUUUAUGCACCAUGUUUCUUCCUCUAUAAGUCAGGGAUUUUAAUAGUAUCUACUUGUGAGCUAUUGUGAGGAUUAAACAAAUAUGGACUCUUAGUAAGCACUGAGAAUUUAAGCUUUUCUCGUCCUUCCCUAUUGGCUCCAUUCCCCAGCAAACAGUCAAUCUAGUCUCCAUGCCAGAAUCCGCAAUUUCACUCAAUCGUUCCACCUUUCUGCCAGAAAGAUGGUUUCUUUCAAUCGUGAGUCUAAAAGACAGGUUUUAAUGGGGAGUGGCAACAUCACAUUAUGACAGCACAUUUCUGCAUUCCUCAAAAGAAUUCAUCAAGCAUUUAUCAUGCACCAUGUAUAAGGCAUCUUUCUUUGCUAGCUACUAGAUUUGACUGGUCGUUUUGUAACUUUAUAGUGUGGGAGGUGUGUAUCUGUGAGAUGGUAUCAGGUCAUUCAUUUUCAAAGAACUCCACAGUCAUUAAACCUGAAUCCAUUGUUAACUUAUAAUGUGCAUUGUUCAUAAGAACUCAAGUUCUGCUUAAAUCCUAUAGUGGCUUCAUCGCACCCUUCAUAUCAAGUCCAUAAAAUAUAUCCCAAACCUGUGCUGGGCUGACCUCAGCCUGUCUCAUCUCCUGUCAUGCUUCUUCUCACUCCCAAAUCUCCUGGAUGGGAGGCCUUUCUGCUGGCUACUCUAUAUGAUACACUUCACCUUCUCUACCUCUGGACCACCCCUAUUCGUCUUUUAAGGCAUGAUUAUAAUUAGGCUGAGUGAAUGAUGACAAACAAAAAAUAGCACAGUCUGCAUGACUCAAUUUACAUAAAUUUUUAAAACAUGCAAACAAAAACUAUCAUAACCAAAGCAGAACAGUAUUUCACCGGGGCUGGGGGUGGUGGUGGGAAGAGGAAGGAAAGAGGAAUUACACAGGAGAGCAAGGAAACUCUUGGUGAUGAUGAAUAUGCUUAUUAUCCUAACUGUAGUGAUAGUUUCACAGGAAUACACAAAUGUCAAAGCUUAUCAAAGCACAUGACUUCAAUAUGUGCAGUUUAUUGUGUAACCAUUAUACCUCAAAUAAAACCAUUGUUUAAAGUUAAAAAAAAAAAAGUCAUGAUUUAGAAAGACUUCCUGAACAAGUGUUUCUGGGCUGUGCUCCCAGACCACAUGGCACCUCCCCUAUCAGAGUACUGUUAACUGAGUAUCUCCACUGCCUAUUUGCACAUCAAUGCACUGAUUAUUAGUAAGGAGAAAGAUUGUGAAUCAUGGGUAGUUGUAGCCUCCGCCACAGUGUCUAGCACAUAGUACAUGCUUGAUGUUCAACACCCAUCUCCAAGGAAUGAUUAAAUACUGUCAAAAUGUAGUUUCAAUAGAAACACUUCAUUUCUUACAUCAAUGAUGAGAAUUUUUUUUAAACUUACUUAAUUUCCUUGUGGAAUAGUAGAUGAUUACUUGAUACGAUAUUGCCUAAGGAUACAAAAUGAGCAGCACACCUGCACUUAAUGAGAUACACUCUGGGAAUCUUUGCAAAGUGAUUUAAAAUUCAGAAGCUCUCUGUUUUUACGUGAGCCAAUUUUCCUUAAUGAUCUCUCAUUCUUACCUGUAUGUAAUUUAUUUCUAGUAAAGAUUGGAUGUAAGGUGGAACAGAAAGGAGAUAAUAUGUAGUCAGGUAGCAUGGCAACUUAUUCCUACAUGCACAUACAUAAGAACCCUGAACUAACACUUUGUCGAAACAUUUACAAAAAAAAUGAUGAAAAUAUUCACAUAGAGAAAAUAAAUUUUACAUUAUAUGGAAGUUGUAUAGUUGAACUACAGGCAUGGGAAUCCAUAGAAUAAAUGCCUUUUACAUGUGUGCAGAGCUUCUUAAAGUGAGACAUUCAUUAGUCGAAGCCAUAAUUUUACUCCAGAAAUAUGGCUUCUUGGAAGAAGCAAUGUUUUGAGUUGAGGAAGAAUUAAUUAAUAUAUAGGUGAGGAUUCCAGGCAGAAAAGACAUUAUGGUAAGGACAAAGAAUUAGAAAGAAUAUGGGAGCCUCUACAAGACAUUUUCUGUUGCUGUAACAUUGUUCAAGACAAUGAUAACAUAAAGAUAAUGGUAAAAUUACAUAAUGUGAGACAACGAUAAAUGAUGAGGCUAGACAACAUAUUCAAAUGCCAAGCAUCAAGGGCCUCAUUAAUAACAGUAAAAAUCAUGGACCAUAUCCAGCAGAUGAUGGAGAAUCACAAAGGGUUUUAAGUAAGGAAAUGAUAUUUGUACUUUAGGUUUGUAUUUUAGAAGAAUCAUCUUUGUAUAUCGAUAGAAGAUAGAUUUAAGGGGCAGGGGACAAAACAGAUCAGAUCAUAGACUCAGUGAAUCAAGCAUGAGAUAUUGAAGGCCUUGUUUGUAGGGCAUGCAUAGUACAGAGGAGAAAAGGGCAAAUCGGAAAUUUAUUUAAGAGGUAAUGGCAGGAUCUCAGGAUUGACUGGGUAUGGAAGGCAAGAGAGAGGGAAGAAACAGCUGAGUUUUGUGCUUUUUGCAUGAGUGAUGAGGUGGGCGAUGAUCAAAUGUUGUCAUGUAGAUCCAUUUGUUAAACUGCAUAACUGUCUUCCAGAGCAGAGAUACUUGGGCCUAAACGAGGCCGGGGCAGGAGAAAUAGAAGAAGCAAAGCACGAGAGUCAUUGCAAAUACUCAAAUUAGCUCACAGAAGUGGGACUUGAUCAUCAGAUUACUAUGGCAGUUGACAAAGCCCUUCUUCUUCAUUUCCAGCCUUUAAUUACUGCUAUUCUAAAAUUCUUCUUUUAUCAAGCUUCCUACAAAACCAUGCUUCCAUCCUGCAUGAUCAGUGAUAUUAUCUCUUGAUUAGUUGAAAUAAUUAAAUCCACCAGGCAUAAUCUUGCUCAAAGUUCUGCCCUACUUUGCAUAAAGGUUUAUUGAAUAGGAUUCUGAGCGUGGUCUCCACAAAUAGACUCUGAACUCAAGAAUCUUAUAGUCUGGCAUACUUUCAUCCAGCUUUUAUUUUCACCUUAACAUGUCUUUGGAAAAUUAUUCAUUUUUCAUUACUAAUGUCAGUAUACAAUAAAGAUGAACCACAGUGGUUUUAGAGUCAGAUAGUCCUUAAAACAUGAUGGGUGUAUAUGGAAAUGUAAAAAAGAAAAAAAAUCUUAAAAAUAAGGGAUGCUUUUAACAACAUAGAUUUUAAACUGUUACAAAAUGGAAUUUAGUAAGAAUGAAUACAGUAUUACCAAGUAAGGUUUAUACCAGAAAUAAAUGAAAGAUUAGUUCAAUAUCAGGGAAUUGAUGUGAUUAGAACAUUAACAGAUUAGAGGAGAAAAUAAUUUCUUAAGGAAGGCAGAAAAAAAUUAUAAAAUCAAACACUUUUUUCAUGGUAAAAAUCUUUCUUAAACUAAGAGUAAAUGGAAACUACCUAGAGCUCAUGAAAGGUAUCUUAUCAAAAAUCUACAAUGAUUAUUAUACUUAAUGAUGAACUUUUAGAAACAGUCUCAAUUUAAAAAAAAAAAAAAAAACAAUAAAACAAGGUACCCAUGAUGGGCACACUAAA